rnacentral:rRNA from 1 species
UACGUAGGGUGCAAGCGUUGUCCGGAAUUAUUGGGCGUAAAGAGCUCGUAGGCGGUUUGUCGCGUCUGCUGUGAAAACUCAGGGCUUAACCCUGAGCCUGCAGUGGGUACGGGCAGACUAGAGUGUGGUAGGGGAGAUCGGAAUUCCUGGUGUAGCGGUGGAAUGCGCAGAUAUCUGGAGGAACACCGGUGGCGAAGGCGGCGAUCCUGGACCGA